AGAAGAAGAAAUACAAUAGAACUGCUAACUCUAUUAACCAAAACUAAACUUUUGGCUCCUUCC
rnacentral:tRNA from 1 species